rnacentral:rRNA from 1 species
GUAAGAGCAUACGGGGCCGGACCCGAAAGAAGGUGAACUAUGCUUGUAUAGGGUGAAGCCAGAGGAAACUCUGGUGGAGGCUCGCAGCGGUUCUGACGUGCAAAUCGAUCGUCAAAUAUGAGCAUGGGGGCGAAAGACUAAUCGAACCUUCUAGUAGCUGGUUUCCGCCGAAGUUUCCCUCAGGAUAGCAGUGUUGACUCAGUUUUAUGAGGUAAAGCGAAUGAUUAGGGACCCGGGGGCCUAUAUUGCCUUCAUCCAUUCUCAAACUUUAAAUAUGUAAGAAGCUUUGUUGCUUAAUUGAACGUGGGCAUUCGAAUGUAUCAACACUAGUGGGCCAUUUUUGGUAAGCAGAACUGGCGAUGCGGGAUGAACCGAACGCGAGGUUAAGGUGCCAGAGUGGACGCUCAUCAGACACCACAAAAGGUGUUAGUACAUCUUGACAGCAGGACGGUGGCCAUGGAAGUCGGAAUCCGCUAAGGACUGUGUAACAACUCACCUGCCGAAUGUACUAGCCCUGAAAAUGGAUGGCGCUAAGCGUCUCACCCAUCCUCGCCCUCAGGGUAGAAACCAUGCCCUGAGGAGUAGGC